rnacentral:rRNA from 1 species
UACGUAGGGUGCGAGCGUUAAUCGGAAUUACUGGGCGUAAAGCGUGCGCAGGCGGUUUUGUAAGCCAGAUGUGAAAUCCCCGGGCUUAACCUGGGAAUGGCAUUUGGGACUGCAAGGCUGGAGUGUGGCAGAGGAGACUGGAAUUCCUGGUGUAGCAGUGAAAUGCGUAGAUAUCAGGAGGAAUACCGAUGGCGAAGGCAGGUCUCUGGGC